GAAAAGGAUUGGCAGAGAGUUGAGACGCCAAUUGUUUGAGAGGUAUCGCUCAAGGCAUAGCCUCAGUCGGAGCAGAAGUUGAAGUCCUUAUAGGCAUCGCAGCUAUGAUGAGCGCCCUCAUGGAGGUUGUGGGCACAGUAGAAGGUAUGAUGACGAGGAUUACUACCAUGAGAGUCGUAGCAAGAGGAACAGGACUACAAGCCCUGGCCACAGAAGAGGACGAAGCAGGAGCCCGGGGGGAAGAAGGAACCGGAGUCCAGUAAGAGAAGGAAGUGAGGAGAGACAUGCCAAAAUCGGGCAGUGGAACAGGGAAAAGGAACAGUCAGAAAAAGCUAAUAAGGAUAAUACUUAUGGUUCCAACAAUAACAACGAAAGCAAUGAAGAUCAGUACUAUGGAAACCAGCAGCGGCGAGGAUAUGGAUAUUGAUCCAACUAAUAUUUUCUGGUUUCAUGCUGUGACAGAGGAUUGGAUUUAACUGGGUUUUGCAGAUCACAUUUGAAAGGAUUGUGAAAGACUCCCACUGCGUUAGUAAAGUAUGGCCCGCAAUGUUGUAAUUUUUUAUUCUAGUGUCUGUAUUCUAUCUAUCUAGGUAAUUAUUCUAAUGUCCUUUUCUUUUCUUCUCUUCUCUUCUCUUCUCUUUCUUCCUUACCCAAAACCCCUCUGCAGGUGUGUGGCAGAGAAGAAAUAAAAUUUACUUUUUGGAAGUUAAAAUCUUGUUAAAACAGGUGUUUAAUUGUGUUUUUUGCUUGUAUUUCAUAGGUAUUAAGUCUGCAUGAAACCAAUGUUUCAAUUUGUGUUCUGAUAA